UACAGAGGGUGCGAGCGUUAAUCGGAAUUACUGGGCGUAAAGCGCACGUAGGCGGCACUGCAAGUCAGAUGUGAAAUCCCCGGGCUUAACCUGGGAACUGCAUUUGAGACUGCAUUGCUAGAGUAUGGGAGAGGGAGGUGGAAUUUCCGGUGUAGCGGUGAAAUGCGUAGAUAUCGGAAGGAACAUCAGUGGCGAAAGCGACCUCCUAGACCAAUACUGACGCUCAAGUGCGAAAGCGUGGGGAGCAAACAGG
rnacentral:rRNA from 1 species